rnacentral:rRNA from 1 species
GACCUCGAUCAGUAGGAAGCGUAC